rnacentral:lncRNA from 1 species
CGAUGCGCCUCGCGAUGAAGUUCUGGGCCUCGUCCAGAUCGGUGACACGCGUAUAGGAAACGUGUCAUGCUGCAUGCAUUGACACAUGUGGUAUCCCCUUGAUUAUAAAAGGAGGACCAAGGCCAUCGGUCAAAGGGUUGGAACCUUAGUUAGUAGCUAGUAGUGUUGCUCCCGUUCAUAGCAAAAAAUCUCUUAGGAGAACAACUAGCUCACCCGGGAACUCCCCGGGGCAACCUGCAAGAACACACACACACAUCUCGUGAAUACAGCACAAAGCAGGAUGUUUGGUAUUGCACCUCCGGGUGGCCCAAACUUGGUUAACUCAUGCGUCGACACUUCGUGUCUUUCAUCACGUCGGCGAUUGCCGGAGCAAUCGCCUCGCCCUCCACCGAGCCAAAGAAGGGGAUGUCCAACAUCCCUGGUGCCUGAGUUCCAUGCUCCGACAACCAUAGAUGGCAGUAUACAGGAUAGGCCAGUUGCGGUGGAAGAACAUGGGAGUUUCUACCUGAUCGACUGAUACUCGAACCUCCAUUGCCUCUUCUAUGCCUGUCGCGUGUGGUUAUGACAUUGUGAUGCUUGUAGGCAAUCAAAACCAAAAAAAAAAAAUCUCUUGAGCUUACUCUCCGUAGGCAUAUAUAAAUCUGUUGCCGCUUCUAACUAUGGGUGAAAUGAGGUAGUGGAGAGAACUAAAUUAAGCUAUUCAGCCCCAAUACAUUUUUAACUGGGUGAUGCCAUAUAAUUUUCUGAAAGAAAGUUACUUUUGUUCUCUAUGAGAGAGUAGAUUAUACAGAAAAAAUCUUCGGGAAAAACCCUUUUUUAAGAUAUGUUCGGUGAUUGUCAAAGUGACCAAAGAAAAAAUUUGAUGCAUACAUGUCUACCAGUGUGUAAUUUUAUUUUGUUUCCCGUGGCAACGCACGGGCAUUUUUGUUAGUAUUUAGACAAAUUUGAGUCACUUAAUAUGAGACGGAAAGAGUAAUAAAUAAUAAGACGUUUUAUAUUAGCUAACAAAAUAAUAAGUUAAGAAAGUUAGGAUG